rnacentral:rRNA from 1 species
UACGAAGGGGGCUAGCGUUGCUCGGAAUCACUGGGCGUAAAGGGUGCGUAGGCGGGGCUUUAAGUCAGGGGUGAAAUCCUGGAGCUCAACUCCAGAACUGCCUUUGAUACUGAGGAUCUUGAGUCCGGGAGAGGUGAGUGGAACUGCGAGUGUAGAGGUGAAAUUCGUAGAUAUUCGGAAGAACACCAGUGGCGAAGGCGGCUCACUGGCCCGGUACUGACGCUGAGGUGCGAAAGCGUGGGGAGCAAACAGG